rnacentral:tRNA from 1 species
GCGCGGGUGGUGGAACUGGCAGACACGACAGUUUGAGGGGCUGUUGGGGUAACCCAUGCAGGUUCAAGUCCUGUCCCGCGCACCA